rnacentral:rRNA from 1 species
AACCUGCGGAAGGAAUCAUU